CACCAAGUGAGGACACAGAAAGAAGGUGCUGGUGAUGGACUAGGAAAUUGAGCCUUCAGAGGUAACCAUGCUGGAACCUUGAUCUUAGACUUCCCAGCCUCCAGAACUGCAUAAUUGCAGAGUAGUCUUAUUUCUGUCUGACUCACCACAGUCACAGAAUGGUCCCUUCUGAUGAUGAUCUUCUGUGAAAUUAUCAUGUCCAACAUGAAACCAUCAAGACCUGCCUAUUUCUCAUAUGGGAACCAGAAAGACACUGUUCGACUUGCCAGUUAUCUGCAUUGCUGGGAAAUGAUCAACUUUGCAGCACUGCUCACAGUCUCCAGAAAGUGCCACGAUGACAGAAUAUUGACUUCCACAGGGGCUCAGGGCUGGCAUCAGCAAGUUGAGAAAAGCAAGCAGUUUCUGUUUCUGGAAGGUUUCACAAGACAGCACCCCAUACACUGUAACUUACUUAGGAAGCAUUCUACUUACAAACAGAGAUUCCAGCUUUGCAAUUUCUGGAAUCUGUGGACAUGUAAACAUUGGAUCCAAGUCAUUUUUACUUAGUUUCUCAGUCUCCAUACUUCACCUCUUACU